AUGGAUCUAGAGCCGUAUCUGUGGAUGGUGAUCCUUGGCUUCAUCAUUGCCUUUAUUCUAGCCUUUUCUGUGGGCGCCAAUGAUGUGGCCAAUUCUUUUGGCACAGCAGUGGGGUCCGGCGUGGUCACAUUGAAGCAGGCCUGCAUCCUGGCGUCUAUCUUUGAGACCCUUGGCUCAAUGCUGCUGGGGGCCAAAGUGGGCGAGACGAUUCGGAAGGGCAUCAUAGACGUCUCCCUUUACAACGAGACGGUGCCUACACUCAUGGCAGGGGAGGUCAGCGCCAUGGUCGGGUCGGCCGUCUGGCAGCUGAUCGCCUCCUUCCUCAAACUGCCCGUCUCUGGGACUCACUGCAUUGUUGGCGCCACCAUCGGCUUCUCCAUGGUCGCCAUCGGCACCAGGGGCGUCCAGUGGAUGCAGCUUGUCAAGAUUGUGUCAUCGUGGUUCAUCUCCCCUCUGCUCUCUGGACUCAUGUCUGGACUCCUCUUCUUGCUCAUCCGACACUUCAUCCUCAAUAAGGACGACUCCGUCCCUAAUGGCCUGCGAGCGCUGCCUGUCUUCUAUGCGUCCACUAUUGGAAUCAACACUUUCUCCAUCUUGUACACUGGAGCCCCAGUGCUUGGGAUAGAGAUGCUCCCGGUGUGGUCGAUCUUUCUAAUUACUUUAGCCGGGUCGCUGAUCUGUGGAGCUGUGGUCUGGUUUUUGGUCUGUCCCUGGAUGAGGAGGAAAAUAGCGGGUCGCCUCAAGAAGGAGCAGGCUCUAGCACGGAUCUCUGAUGAGAGUCUGGACAAGAUCCCGGAAGAGGAGGAGGAGAGCCCCGUCUUUAGGGAGCUCCCAGGGGCCAAGGGCACAGACGAGGCCGUGCUGCCGCUCACCGGGGGGGGCAGUGACCGCGAGUCCAGCGGAGACCUCAACAACCUGGCUAAUGGAGGCAACAUCCUGCCAAACGGCAGGGCGUACGGCCGGACCAACUCAAUGACCAACGGCUGCCUCAAGUCCCCCAUCUCUAACGGCAGCUUCACCUUCGAUGGCCACAUGCGCAGCGAUGGCCAGGUUUACCACACAGUGCACAAGGACUCUGGUCUGUACAAAGACCUGCUCCACAAAAUCCACGUGGGCCGCAUGGACGAAAGCGACCGCUCUGGCUCCAACGCCGGCCCGGCAGACAACAACUACCGCCUGCUGCGGCGCAACAACAGCUACACCUGCUACACCGCGGCUAUCUGCGGCAUGCCAGUCCAGCCGCUCAUUCGCUCAGAGUCACGCGACGACAGCGAGAAGCUGGUGGGAGAAGGAGGCGGCAGGAGCAACAGCGUGUCCUAUACCAAGAAGAGGAUACGCUACGAUAGCUACUCGUCCUACUGCAACGCUGUGGCCGAGGCUGAGAUUGAGGCCGAGGAGUGUGGGGUGGAGAUGAAACUGGCCACAGAGCUGGAAGGAUUGGAUGAAGAUGGGGCUCCCGCUCCGGUGCCUCUGGAGGACCUGGCCGAGGAGGAGGAGAAGGACAGGCCUGAGGUGUACCUGCUUUUCCACUUCCUGCAGAUCCUCACCGCCUGCUUCGGCUCUUUUGCCCAUGGAGGCAACGAUGUCAGUAAUGCCAUCGGGCCCCUGGUGGCGCUGUGGAUGAUCUACGAUCAGGGGGGUGUGAUGCAGGAUGCUGACACCCCCCUCUGGCUGCUGUUUUACGGCGGUAUAGGCAUCUGCGCCGGCCUGUGGGUGUGGGGCCGUCGCGUCAUCCAGACCAUGGGAAAAGACCUGACUCCCAUCACCCCGUCAAGCCUCGACAUGCUGACACACACAGGUCCAUCCAGUGAAACAGCGUCCUUGCGGAUUUUGCAUUGAAGUAAUGAGUGCGCUAACAGUGCUUGUUGCAUCAAAUGUGGGCAUCCCAAUAAGCUCCACCCACUGCAAGGUGGGCUCGGUCGUGGCCGUUGGUUGGAUCCGCUCCAAGAAGGCAGUGGACUGGCGCCUCUUCAGGAACAUCUUCCUGGCGUGGUUCGUCACGGUGCCCGUGGCCGGCCUGUUCAGCGCCGCCGUCAUGGCCCUGUUCGUCUACGGCAUCCUGCCCUACGUCUGAGGGCCAGGAGGGAGAACAUGGGAGGAGCAGAGAGUCAGAGGAAGAGAUAGAGGGAACCUUGGGUAAAAUCAGAGCCCGAGUGUCAGGGGUUCAGAUAAAGGAGAAGGAAAUAAGGAGAGAGAAGCUGCAGAGGUUUACACAUGGACGUGGUUGUACUGUGGAUGUGAGGAGGGUUGGUUCAUACGCUGCCUGGCUCCGGAGAUAUGUUUUUGACUCCUAUGGGUUUCUGAUUGUUUUUAUUUAUUCUCUUCUUUUGGGUGCAUAAGAAAAAGGUGUAUUACAAACAUGUUCACUGUACCAUUCAAUCUGCUGUACAUAUGCCAUAACAGAGAAAUAUCCAGUAACUCUUAAAAAAACAAAAGAAUCACGAGUUUAAAAAGAAAAGACGGCACAAACCUUUCAAAUAAUAAUAAAAAAAGGUUAAAUCUGCCGACUUUAAACAACAUCAUGCUGCGUGCUAUCCCAGGAAGCAGAGUCGCGCUGGUGCUCAUUAUUUUUGACCCAAAAUGCCAGAAAACCCCCCUGUACAUAUUGUUGUAGUGGAGUGUGAUUUGUUGUACUUUGGCUUGCUUUAAAGUUGAAAAAGAAAACGACAAAAAGAACCAGAUGUGCGUGUGGGAAAACCAACCCCUCCAUCGUCUCACCUCUAACAUGCUAACCAGGUACAACUAGGGCCAAACGGAUAGGACGCCUCAGAGGGGGGGCGGGACUGUCACUCUGCUUUAUUUUCCACAUGAUACCACAGAAACCUGAUUCGCUAAAGAGUUGAUUUUUGUCAAGAGCUCCUGUAUGUUUUUAGAGAUGGAUCUCAUAUUUUUUAAUGAUGUAAUAUACUGUAAUUUGUACUGUAAAUACUAUCCUUAAAGAGGUCGGGAUGGGGAUCAUGGUGUGUUUUUAAACAUAGUAAGGAUGGGGGGGAUGGGGGGUGGCUCUUUACCUCUUCAUGAUGUCGUGUCCCAGAGUACACACACACUCAGUGAACACACACACACACACUCAGUGAACACACACACACACACACACACACACACUCAGUGAACACACACACACACACUCAGUGAACACACACACUUGACAAGCUGCUGUUUUUCCAUAGGUUUGCAGAAGUAUAUUGAUUGGAAAACAGUAUUACAAAUUGGAAGUAAUGAAGCCAGAACUGGAGAUAUUGUCAGUAACAGUAUUGGCAGAAAGAUCUUUAGCUAAAGGUUUGAGAAAAGGUUUAGAUGGUUAUAUCAGUGACAUUUAAAGGUCUGGGUGCCGCAGAAGCCAAAACACUAAAACUGAACCAGGAUAAAAACACUAAAAUGGUCCCACAAAAUGUUCACAUACUGUAUCUUCAUCCGUUUGCCUUUGUUUUCAUAACAUAAUUCACCUACUGGAGUCAGUGUUUUACAUUGAAGGCUCCCUGCCAAUGAUGGACCUCGACACAUGUUUCUGAUCCUGCAUCGCCGCUCAGAUUACAUUUCUUAGUCCGGGACGUGUCUCUGUAGCUCUGACCCUCGGCCUCAUGCUCCUGGGCAGCUUCGUCAUGGCAGACGGCGAUUAUGUGUCAUAUCACUUUGUAUUAUAACUCCAGCCAGUUAUGCAGAAGUGGGAAGAAAGGGGAUUUAACCCCCAGCCACACGUGUAGCUCCUCAAAAUGGGCUGGUUGUUGUUUUGAAGUGUAGAAACAUUUAGUCUAUUGAUCACCUGUGUUUCAAUCGAAGUGCUAAAGGCAAGCUAGAUAUCAUAGGCUCCAGUUUUGGGCUCAAUCGAAGCCAGAACACUAUCACAAGACUUCUGUCUUAGGAUCAUUAUGGUAUGGUAUCGGGGGGGGGGGAGGGGAUAGUACUGAUCAUCACCAGCUUUUUAACCAGGUCACCUGACCUGUAGAUAAACAAAGUUUAAAGCUUUUUUUUAUUUGAACAAACUCGAUGCCAGGUGUUGCAAGUUCUUUUUUUUGUUCUUGUGUGUUUCCUAAUUUCAUUUUUAUUUUUUUUCUCAUGAACAAAUCUAUGCUUAAGUAGCCACUUGCCUUGUAACAUUGUGUUUUACUUUGUGCAGAUACAGUGAAAUAAUUAAGUACUGUGGUGUUUACAUCGUAACCAUAUUGUAGACUAUCUGAAAAAAUAAACUGUUGCCUAAUGAUGCCAAUGAAAGACAAACUAUUAACCAUGACUUUUUAAGUGCAAGUAAAACAAAUAAAAUAACCUGAAGUGUCUAGAGAGAGAAAGAGAGAGAGCAAGUGUGCGCGUGAUGACUGUUUUUAUGUUGUUGUAGCAGUAGUGCUAAUCAUGACCCUGUCACUUUACACUGCUAAUACAAAGCAUUGACACUGCAUGUAUGGGUGCAAUUCAGUAAUGAAGAGAAUGACUAGAGACAUUUCAUCGACUAUAUAUUUUUCUACCAUAUCUGAGUUUUAACCUGGGUGAGCUUCCUGACACUGGAGGGCACACAGUGGGCUGAGGGGGAAGCGAGGACUAUUUGUUCAGAGAUCUCUGAGAAAAGAUCUUCUAACAAAUCAGUAUCCCUCCUCGCUGGUGCCAUGUGCCGCACCUCCUCUACGCCCGGUGUGUUCUUUGUAACUUUGGCGUUGUGUCGGUUGCCAAUAGAUCAGAUUUUUAAAUUACAUUUAUAUUUUUGAAUUUUAGAUGAAAACUCUUUGUAAUUGUGUUUCCCUGCUGCUUAUAAUCAUGAGCCUUGAGAGCAGCUUGAAGUCUUGCUAAAUCAGGACGACUGCUCUCCGUAGGUAAACUAAAAGCGAAAAUCUCUGUAGGCAACAGAAUAAAUCUUGUAGGCCUACUCUGUAACUGAUAACUGGACUAUGAGGACAUUUGUUUCCUUGUUUUGGCAGGUAACCACUCUUGAAGCUCAUACCCUUUCACUCUUCCACAGGGUGUGUGUUACACAGGGGGCUGCACGGAGAUGGUGUGUGUGCAAACUCUGUGCUCUGGUACAGUAGAGCUGGAGAAAGAACAUAUAACCUGUAUAAGAUCAGAGUUUACAACCAUUUCUUCAAAGUGGCCAAAGUAACUGGAAUAUUUUAUAUAUUAUGCACAUGUUAUCAUCUUAUAGAGAGCAACAGCUAAAAAACACUUGUUUUUUGCUUAUUCUAAAAUAAAUAGGCAUGUAUCACGAUUUACUUUAUAACAUUAAGAACUCCUUAUCAUUUAUCCAAGAAAAACAUUAUUCGUUAGUUACCAAGUGCACAGUUAAAGACAUGCGUUAAAGGCUAACAAAAUAUCCAUUCAUGUUUUGUUUUUAUGUUGAGAACAUUUGAUAUGAUGGAUAUAGUGUGGUCGCAGCUGGUAGAUGUGUGUUGCUCUCGUGUUCAGUUGGUACAAUAAAGGAGACUGAAUCCACUUUCCUCUGGUUGGAUUAUGAGGUUUACUGGGCUGAGGUCGGCCAGGGUUCAGAUAUUUGGUUUGUGCUGGAUCACUGCGGCCCCUUGUGUAACCUGCACUGUCAUUUUCUGUUUUGUUUUUCCAUGCAUUCACCGUCCUGAUAGGCCAAACGGGGUGCACUGCUCAAAAGAGGGGGGGGGAAGUGAAAAGAAAACCUAAUAUUAAUGGCUCAAACUCUAAAGUUUAGGAACCAUUGCUCUAUCAAUAUUAAAGCCCUAGACAAUUUGGUUUCAAAUAGUGUGUAUUUCUUUAAAACAUUAAAUACAAAUUGUAGGUAUGAAAGGUUUAGCUAAUAGUAUUUGAUUGGCAAACAUCUAACGACUUUUAUCACAUGUUGAUUCAAUGUCUCCGAUUGGGGCAUAAACCAUGUGACACCUCUAAUUUCCAAAAGAGCCUCGCCUAUUUAAAACCUUUGAGAAGAGCAAAAAAAAGUGCAGAAAUUGCUCACGUAAAGAUAACCAAAACUGUGCUUUAACAAAAUAAAUGUAGUUUCUAUAUUGGAAACAAUCAGCCGUAAAAAAAAAAGCUGAUUGAGAAAACAAGUUGUCAGGGCUCCAGAGUAAGUUGUAGAUGAAACUGCCAAUAAUUCCAAUAAUUGUGCAGGUAAAAUGAAUGAUACUAAAGUCAAUGCAGCCACUAGACACUUUCCCCCCCACAGAGAGGGACAGCAGUAUCAAUAGACGCUGCAGUGUAAUGCCAUUGAGGGAGUCACUGUGCUUCUAUUGCAUUAGUGUGACCUUCGCAGAGAAACAGCAGGCGCCAUUUCUUUCUCCCUGAACACAUGCAGUUUGUUGUGAAGCUGUAGCUCCACCUGUCCUGCUGAAAUAGCGCCCCCUCCAGGCUGUACUGACACAGUUGGAGGGGUCCUCAUCUGGAUGUGGCGUGCUGUCUCUAGUUUUCUGCUCUGUUUUGUAAUAGGAUGUGCUCCUUGGCUGGCCUGCAGGCUUUACAGCUCUGUGUUGUCUGUUUACUGUUUACUGCUAUUUAACUGUCCAGUCCUUCAAAAGUAAAAAAACGAAAAAAACAACAGUAAUGAAUAAAAAAAAUCAAGAGAAACUGUAGCCUGCUUCUACAAAAUCUUAAAGCUCUUCUGAUUUGCAUAUAUCGUACUGUAAUGUUUUAUUUAAGAUUUUAGUGGAGAAAAAAAUGUCUGCAUUUAAACUAAAUUGUGGGAAUUAAAAUUACAAAGGAAAUU